GGGCCCAUAGCUCAGCUGGGAGAGCGCUUGCAUGGCAUGCAAGAGGUCGUCGGUUCGAUCCCGAUUGGGUCCA
rnacentral:tRNA from 1 species